rnacentral:hammerhead_ribozyme from 1 species
CUUAGAUGAUGAGUUCCAAAUAAGACGAAACGCGCGUCCUGGAC